rnacentral:rRNA from 1 species
AUGAACUGCCCUGUCAUACUCCUUAGGAACAUUGAUCCAGCUAAUGGUUUGUGUAACGGGACCAGGCUUGUUGUCAGAGGUUUUGAUAGGAACACCAUUGACACAGAAAUUGUGAUUGGACAACACGCAGGUAGGAGGGUUUUCCUUCCUAGAAUACCUUUGUGCCCAUCUGACAACAACAUGUUUCCAUUCAAGUUUAAGAGGAAGCAGUUUCCUAUAAGGCUUAGCUUCGCUAUGACGAUUAACAAGGCUCAAGGUCAGACCAUCCUGAUUGUUGGUGUGUACCUACCUGAUCCAGUGUUCUCACAUGGUCAACUCUACGUCGCAUUGUCUCGAGCGACCGCAAAGAGCAACAUAAAGAUCCUCAUUGAGAAGGACAAGCCGAAGGAGAAGGGCCGGAAGCAGUCUAAGAAUUCUAAAAAGCGCAAAAGAUCUACCGUGUCAAAGAACAUCGUUUACAAGGAAGUCCUUACAGGCUGA